AUUGAACGCUGGCGGCAGGCCUAACACAUGCAAGUCGGACGAGUGGCGGACGGGUGAGUAAUGUAUGGGAAACUGCCUGAUGGAGGGGGAUAACUACUGGAAACGGUAGCUAAUACCGCAUACCAUCAGAUGUGCCCAGAUGGGAUUAGCUUGUUGGUGGGGUAAAGGGUCACCAAGGCGACGAUCCCUAGCUGGUCUGAGAGGCUGCACCGCCACACGGGGACUGAGACACGGCCCAGACUCCGACGGGAGGCAGCAGUGGGGAAUAUUGCACAAUGGGCGCAAGCCUGAUGCAGUCAUGCCGCGUGUAUGAAGAAGGCCUUCGGGUUGUAAAGUACUUUCAGCGGGGAGGCGUUACCCGCAGAAGAAGCACCGGCUAACUCCGUGCCAGCCGCCGCGGUAAUUC
rnacentral:rRNA from 1 species